rnacentral:rRNA from 1 species
UACGUAGGUGACGAGCGUUAUCCGGAAUUACUGGGCGUAAAGCGCACGCAAGCGGUUGGACAAGUCUGGCGUGAAAUCCUCUGGCUUAACCAGGGGCGGUCGCUGGAGACUGUUCGGCUUGAGGCGAUGAGAGGGGUGCAGAAUUCCCGGUGUAGUGGUGGAAUGCGUAGAGAUCGGGAGGAAUACCAGUGGCGAAAGCGGCACCCUGGCGUCGUACUGACGCACAUGUGCGAAAGCGUGGGGAGCGAACGGG